AUGCACAGAAAUGGAACAGGUGAGGCCCGAGCCCAAGAGCACUCAGAUACAAAACAGAGAGAGGUUUCAGCCACCUUGGUUCUAGUCUAGCCUUUAGAAAAGAGGAAACUGCCUGAGGGAAGUCACAUGGCCAGUUAAUGACAGCUCAAGCCAGGUUGUCUCAGGACUCACUCGGCUCACAGAUCCUCACACUCUGGCCGCCUUCGCCUGGAGGACCCAAACGUCAAAAGAGAUAGCAUCUUCCUCGUCCGUCUCCCAGCGCUGCCAAAAUCAGACUAACAACUACUGCCAAUGCCACAGCCCCAGGAAGCCCUCAAAAAGUAUCGCAGACACACAGUAAAUGGAUCUAUAUACUGUGUAAUAUAUACUGUGAUAGCUGAUGAUCAGAGAUCAGGAACAUGGAGGAUGACAUCUGACUGAUGACAUCAUGAAUGGAUCACAUAUGCCAGCACUACUGCCCUAGGUACUUCUCAUUUCUGUAGCAAGAAUGAAACUUGCCAUGUUAGAUGAUACAAUUUUCACUUCCACUAUUUUGAGGGACCUCAUGACCCGUUCUCUCCAGCUUGGCAGAGCUGAGGGUGUUCUCUGCUUGCCGGCUUAGGGAAGAGAUGAUACAGCAGAAUGUCGGAAGAGGAAGUCAAGCUGUCAAGCCUCUAUCAGACUUGGACAGCACAUGAGGCAGUGAGCAAACGCCAUUUCCUCAGUGUUGACCCAUGUCCCUGAGCUGGGUUAUCACAGAUAUGGAGAGCAAGCCCUUAAGAGCGUUCCCAGAUGGUGCCACAGCUAAUCAAAGGGUACAAGUUCCAGAUGACAAACUGACGUCACUGAAGUACGGAGCAAUGGAAGGAAAAUGGAAUUGGCUCCACCACAGAUUGCUUGAGAAGCUUGAGAAGCGCCUCUUAAGACUGCUGACAUGCUUCUAGAUUCAGAGAAAAAAAAUGAGUUAGAAGCAAAUGUCCAACACUGAAAAAUAUCUUUGAACCCUGUUGCCAUGCUCUGGAAACCCAGACAUUGACAUAAAUAUACAGUGAAGAAUAGGGAGGUAUCUGGAGAAAUCCAUAGCCUUUUCCACAGCCGUGCCCAAGAGGCAGCAAAUCUAUCAUUUCUUCAAGAAACUAAAAACUAUGGGUGCAGUUGGGAGAGAAAGCUCUAAGAGCACAGUGCGAGGGUCAAUGGAAUGACUUGAUACGGGUCUAGAAGGACCCCGGGAGCUGUGAAAUUCUUAGACAUUCCCACCAAGUAGGCACAAAAUGCUCCUGCAUGCCCAGCUGAGGGACAAAAGUGUCUGAGAGACAGAACGAAGAGGGUUCUCAGCGGAGAAGGAGCUGGGCAGAAGUUAGGCAUAUACACUCUUGCCAAGCUACAUUUUAGCAAAUAGUAGCCUCCCACAUGGGUGAAUCCUAGCAUUUGGAAGGUUGGGCAAAGUUCCAGGCUAGCCUGGGCUACAGAGCCUGUCUCAAAAGUCAAACAAUAAAAACUCAGGGUUAAGGAGAUGGCUCAGUGAGUAAAAGCACUGCCAGCACAAGCCUAACGGCCUGCCUGCGCAGGACAGACUGCACACCUGCCAUUUUCCCAGCCCUGUGGGGAGCUGAGAGGCAGAAGCAGAAAUCCUGGAACUAGCUUCAGACUGGCUCGCCUGGACCUCACACCACAGCAGAAGAACAAGGGCGACCUGGCCUCAGCACACAAGGUGGAAGGCAAGGACUGCCCCCACAAGCUGUCCUCUCAAUGAGCAGAGGUGGCACUUGUACUGCCACCCAUGCCUGCACUCAUACACGCGCGCGCGCGCACACACACACUUUUAAAACAUUAAAGCCGACAGACCAAACAAACCCAAUAGUCUUGUGGAGACUCAUGGGUCGGAGGCUUCUCUCCCCUGCAGCUCUCCACACUAUGUGGAGACAAGUGAGACAGCAAAGCUGCCAACCCCCAUAAGGAGUGAGAGUAAAUUUCCAUCACCCGGAAGAAUGGUGACUCACGAUGGAAAGUUGAAACGCAAUGGAACUUUUAAAAUAAUAAUAAUAAAGGAUG